AUGCAAGGUUGGGGAUUAACGGAUAGAUCCUACACGAAGCACCAUCAGGACACAAGUUUGGGGAGUAACGGAUAGAUCCUACAUGAAGGACCAUCAGGACACUAGGUUGGGGAGUAACGGAUAGAUCCUACAUGCAGCACCAUCAGGACACAAGGUUGGGGUGUAACGGAUAGAUCCUACAUGCAGCACCAUCAGGACACAGGGUUGGGGAUUAACGGAUAGAUCCUACAUGCAGCACCAUCAGGACACAAGGUUGGGGAGUUACGGAUAGAUCCUACAUGCAGCACCAUCAGGACACAAGGUUGGGGUGUAAUGGAUAGAUCCUACAUGCAGCACUAUCAGGACACAAGGCUUGGGAGUUACGGAUAGAUCCUACAUGCAGCACCAUCAGGACACAAGGUUGGGGAGUAACGGAUAGAUCCUACACGCAGCACCAUCAGGACACAAGGUUGGGGAGUAACGGAUAGAUCCUACACGCAGCACCAUCAGAACACAA